rnacentral:misc_RNA from 1 species
UUUCCGUAGGUGAACCUGCGGAAGGAUCAUUACCGAGUGAGUGUCUCUCAGGCCCGACCUCCCACCCUGUGGUUUUGUGACCUUGUUGCUUUAGCGGUCCCGCCUCGAUGAGAGGCUGCAGGAAGCUCACCGCUUUGGGCCCGUGCCCGUCAGUAGCCCCCUUAAAUUCUUAAUAAACCUGUCGUCUGAGUUAAUUGCUAUAAUGAAAAAAAACUUUCAACAGCGGAUCUCUUGGUUCUG